GAUGAACGCUGGCGGCGUGCCUAAUACAUGCAUGUCGAGCGAACAGAUGAGGAGCUUGCUCCUCUGACGUUAGCGGCGGACGGGUGAGUAACACGUGGAUAACCUACCUAUAAGACUGGGAUAACUUCGGGAAACCGGAGCUAAUACCGGAUAAUAUAUUGAACCGCAUGGUUCAAUAGUGAAAGACGGUUUUGCUGUCACUUAUAGAUGGAUCCGCGCCGCAUUAGCUAGUUGGUAAGGUAACGGCUUACCAAGGCGACGAUGCGUAGCCGACCUGAGAGGGUGAUCGGCCACACUGGAACUGAGACACGGUCCAGACUCCUACGGGAGGCAGCAGUAGGGAAUCUUCCGCAAUGGGCGAAAGCUUGACGGAGCAACGCCGCGUGAGUGAUGAAGGUCUUCGGAUCGUAAAACUCUGUUAUUAGGGAAGAACAAAUGUGUAAGUAACUAUGCACGUCUUGACGGUACCUAAUCAGAAAGCCACGGCUAACUACGUG
rnacentral:rRNA from 1 species